CGCUGCUCUGGGAACCAAAGCUGCGCCAGGCAUGCUACCCUUGUCUAUACAUACCCUUUUGUUAUUUCCCUCGGCGGGGCAACCUGCCGCUGGGGACAAUUAAACCCUUUGUAUCAAGUAUCAAAUCAUCUGAAACAAAAUUAAAUAAUUACAACUUUUAACAAUGGAUCUCUUGGUUCUGGCAUCGAUGAAGAACGCAGCGAAAUGCGAUAAGUAGUGUGAAUUGCAGACUUUAGUGAAUCAUCGAAUCUUUGAACGCACAUUGCGCCCCUUGGUAUUCCAUUGGGCAUGCCUGUUCGAGCGUCAUUUACACCCUCAAGCUCUGCUUGGUGUUGAGCGUCUGUCCUUGCCUUGUGCAAAGACUCGCUCUAAAUGUAUUGGCAGCGGCAUCGCCAGCUUCUUGCGCAGCACAUUGCGCUCUAAGAUUUUGGUGAGCUUGCAUCCAUUAAGAACCCCCCAAGUUUGACCUCGAAUCGGGUAGGGAUACCCGCUGAACUUAAGCAUAUCAAUAAGCGGAGGAAAAGAAACCAACAGGGAUUGCCCUAGUAACGGCGAGUGAAGCGGCAAAAGCUCAAAUUUGAAAUCUGGCCCUCUAUGGGGGUCCGAGUUGUAAUUUGCAGAGGGUGCUUUGGUGUUGGCAGCGGUCUAAGUUCCUUGGAACAGGACGUCACAGAGGGUGAGAAUCCCGUACGUGGUCGCCUGCCUUCACCGUGUAAAGCCCCUUCGACGAGUCGAGUUGUUUGGGAAUGCAGCUCUAAAUGGGAGGUAAAUUUCUCCUAAAGCUAAAUACUGGCCAGAGACCGAUAGCGCACAAGUAGAGUGAUCGAAAGAUGAAAAGCACUUUGGAAAGAGAGUCAAAUAGCACGUGAAAUUGUUAAAAGGGAAGCGCUUGCAGCCAGACUUGCCCGCGGUCGUUCUCUUCC
rnacentral:rRNA from 1 species